rnacentral:rRNA from 1 species
GUCCAACCCUUAGUGCUGCAGUUAACGCAAUAAGCACUCCGCCUGGGAGUACGGCCGCAAGGCUGAAACUCAAAGGAAUUGACGGGGGCCUGCACAAGUGGUGGAGCAUGUGGUCCCUUCGACGCAACGCGAAGAGCCUUACCAGGUCUUGACAUGGUCGGACAGCCCAAGAGAUUGGGUCUUCCCUUCGGGGACAGAAUGACAGGUGGUGCAUGGUUGUCGUCAGCUCGUGUCGUGAGAUGUUGGGUUAAGUCCCGUAACGAGCGCAACCCCUGAUCUUAGUUGCCAGCAUUGAGUUGGGCACUCUAGGAUGACUGCCGGUGACAAACCGGAGGAAGGCGGGGAUGACGUCAAAUCAUCAUGCCCCUUAUGACCUGGGCUACACACGUGCUACAAUGGAUGGUACAAAGGGAAGCCAAACCGCGAGGUCGAGCUAAUCCCAUAAAGCCAUUCUCAGUUCGGAUUGUAGGCUGCAACUCGCCUGCAUGAAGCCGGAAUCGCUAGUAAUCGCGGAUCAGAAUGCCGCGGUGAAUACGUUCCCAGGCCUUGUACACACCGCCCGUCACACCACGAGAGUUGGCAACACCCGGGGUCGGUGGGGUUACCUCACGCAGCCAGCCGCUCGUAAGGUGGAGCCAUUUCU